CUUCACUCUGGCUUGCUGAUAGUUUUAUCUUGCAGCAUUAUUCUGAACGUUGCUCUCAUUUGUAUAAGAUGUAAACUGACCUGUACACACUGUGCAGAUGAAAAGAACAGUGAUAUAUCAAAAGUGGAAUGGUCACGCAAGCAAUGCCAUGACGAGGACACACUGAAUUACGCUGCCCUGAACCUUAAGAAGCCAAAACCCAGGAGACAGAAGAAAGACGGGAAUAAUGACACUCUGUAUUCUGACCUCCGCUACAGAGAUUAUGAAUAAAGAUGCUUCUCAUUCAUGUCAGUCACACAGAGUGUUCAGGGUGUAGCUUUAAUAAUGUUCAGAGGAGGGCAGGGGAGCCAGUGCUUCUGAGACUGAAUCACGGGAUUUUACGGAGCACCGGUGCUGAGUUUGGUGUCAGUGUGUUUGGGGCGCAUUUUUACUGGAAGUGCAAAUGU